CCUUGUUCUGAGUGAUGUAACUGAUCCGUCUAGAGCAGUCCAGCUGGUCCCUUGUUCUGAGUGAUGUAACUGAUCCGUCUAGAGCAGUCCAGCUGGUCCCUUG